rnacentral:lncRNA from 1 species
AUAAAAUCAUAAUAGAAAGAAAAUUUGGUACACAAUUUCAGAUGGAUCAAAUCAUUUAAAAUAACCAGCUUUCUUAAAGAAGGUAUAUAAAAUAAUAACUAUCAACUUUUCUACAACCAUUCAAAUCCCAUAUUUGUAAAUAAUUUCUUCAAAUAUGAAAUUAAAUCUUAUCCAAGCAAUAACAAUAAUUUCUCUACAAUAAUCUUCUUUUACAUAAAUAAAUAACUUAUACUUUUACCAAAUGUGUCAAAAGGGUCGUUUAAAACUCACGAUUCGGGAGUUAUGACGGUACCGUUACCUCAGUCACGACAUAUAGUGAUUGUGAGGAGGGACAUUCUUUGUCACCAAUGGUAGGUGCUAGCAAGUUAGAUUAGUAAACAAUCAUAAUGGUAAGCAACAACUAGUUUAUCAGGCAAACAACAACCAGUUUGCCAUAGUUAGCGUAAGUACAACAACCAAGCUUACCAGGUAAGCACACAACCAAGCUUACCAACAAAGGCACAAGAGGCAUAAAAAUAACAUUAAGUAACCAUAUAUUAAUCAUCAAAUUAAAAUCAUAUCAAAAAAUUCUACGAAUAAGUAUUAUACCACUUGGAUACUAUUUUCAAAUAAAACUGAAAAGAAUUCAAAGUAUUAUGAAACUAUACACUCUCACCUAUACACAAGUCAAUCUUCUAUUUUGGCAGCAUACUAGACAUGCGAUUCUCGAUACCCUCACCUAAAAUAUGAAUUAUGCAACGUCUAAUCAGAUAUUAUUUCCUCCUAUAACAAACAUGCAAUGAAAUGCAAUAAUAUGUAAUAUGUAACUCUGACCAUGCUACAAUUCCGUAUUUUUAUGAGUAUAGAAAUAUUUUUUAUAAAUCAUAAAAUUUUAUACCCAGAAAGUAUAUAUAUAAAUGUACAACAUAUUAAAAUUUCAGAAUUUUUGAAUAUCAUUAACUAUUUUUAAAAUUCAAAAAUCAAAAGGAUAAAUUAUGCUCUGAAAAUCAAUGAUAACAGCUCGGUCUACUAUUUUUAUAAAUUUUCUCGAAUCUAAUUUGACUCCAAAAAGUUUACACAACAUACUAGACACAUAUAUCCAUUUACAGAAAAAAAAUCAUAAAUUUGUAAGCUAUGUAACUAUUUUUAAAAUUUUGACAAAUCUUCCUAGAAUUUUCAGAAAUUAUACUCACUCACAAAUAGCCCAAAACAGUCCAAAAAUCAGAUUCUCGACUCUAUAUUCACUCAAAUUUCAAUAUAACAUAAAUUAAACUUAAACAUGCAUAUGUUCCUUUGAUUCUCAUAGUUUGUUUGUUUUUUAAUUUUAUAAAAAUUCCAUCUCAUAGUUUGUUUGUUUUUUAAUUUCAUAAAAAUUCUAAAUUAUAAAACUAUGAGAAAAUCUGAAACAAAUAUAAAGUAUAUAAAAUUUGUACCUAGUUGAACUCUCAAACUGUUGUCGCUAAAAUUUUUCAAAUCUUUUCUCUCGGUGUUCUCUCUCUCUCUCCCAAGUCUCCUUGUUCUUUUCUUUUUCUUCUAAGCUUACUAGAGAUAGAUAUACACAGAUAUGUACAUAUAUCGAUAAGAACAAGGAAAGAGAGCAAUGGUUCCAAUGAAAAAAUUACACUUUUUCCCUUAUAUUUAAUAUAUCAUCUCACAUUAGAUAAGAUAUUUAUGAUUUACCCCAUAACGUUUAAAUUAUAAUACUUAUAUCCCUUGCAACUUAAUCAACACUAUUAAAUUCAUUCAUUAAGCAAUAAAAUUUUAAAAGACGGGUCUCACAUAAGGAUCCCCGAGCUUGCUUCAUAACGAUAACUCACAGCGGUGUAUGCCCUAGAAAGGCCAGAGCAUGUAGUUGUGUCUUUUGUCCCCUUACAUUUAUCUUGAUUGUUUUGUGGCAUAUCUAUAAGCUUGUUUAUAUAUAUCCUAUUUGAAAAUGUUUAUGAAUGUCUUGAUAUUUGAUGCCGUAAUAGUCAAAAACGAGGUGGUGGUAUGACGCUCUCUUUAGCUCGGUCGAAACACUACCAAGCAUUGACAUCAUCCAAGGUUAAAGGGUCUGCAGCACAACCGAGUUGUCAUUAUACAAUAAGCUCAGUGGACCAACCAUACUGAACGUUGGUCGAAAGACAACGGUUAGUAGCGAUCCCAAUAUAUGUCAAGGGACAAAGAAUGACUUGCAAAAGAAAGUUACCUCUGACAGCCCUCAUACUUGGAACACGACAUCUACCAUACGGAGACCUGCUACAAACUAAGCUACAAAAGCAUGGUUGGUUCAGCCACCUACCUACUAACAUAACAGUUGGCGCGUCGAGGUACGCUAUAUAAAGAGUCAUGUUCUCUCAAAGGUACGCACUCUUUGCUAUUAAAACCUAUAUUUUCUAUAUAUAUAUUCUCCGAUCUUCUAACUUAACCGUCGAAGAGUCAUUCCCCAAAAAUAGCUUUGGCGGCCAGGGGCGGCACCAGGUAGGCUCUGAUGGGGUCAGCUGACCCCAUCAGCCUUUAAAAACUGUUCAAAAAUUUUUGU